rnacentral:lncRNA from 1 species
CUGAGAUUGAUCAAUACUUUAACAAUGCUUUGGAAUUUAGGCUUCCUAUAUUUUACUCUGCAUAUUUUUUCCUAGGCUUCCCUUAGUAGAAAAGAUGCAGAGCUUCAAGAUUUAGGAAGAAUAGUGACUCCCUUAGUAAGGAAACAGCCAAGAAAAUUACUGCUCUCCCAGCUCAAAGAGAAACAUUAAUUAGGUAAGACAUGGGCAAGGAGCAAAAUAGAGAGCUCAGAAGAGUGAAUUGUAAUAUAAUUAACACUUAGUAAUUCCUCUAAAUUUCAGAGCGUAACUGUCUUGUUGCAGAACCCUUUGAAUUAUUUAAACCAUUUCUGAAAGAAGCCUUUGAAAACCCUGGAGAUGCCUUUUUAUCUUUUUAUAAAGGUUCUUUCCACUACCAUCUAGGUUCUCCGCACAAGAUGUACAGCCUGGGGAAAGGGGGCUGGAUCGAGGUAAUCCUGAGACAAUCCUGCUGUGUACACUGACAACUGGGCAGUCUCCACCAUGGAAAAAUAUUUUGCACAUACAUAAUAAUGCACUGCUGUGUAACAUUAACAUAACAAAAACUCCAAUGCAGCUCUCCUGGCGGAAAGGGAAUGAGAAGACUGCCUACGUGAAGAGGGGACGGAAAGAGCAGGGAACGGUGUUGCAGAUGAUCUCAUCUCCCUCGGCCCGAAGUCAUUAA